GCAAGACAGAGACAGAGAUAAAUUAAUUGAAAUGUUUCCUUCACAUGUAACCACUCAAAUAAAGAUGGUAUCCCCAUGGCCCAGCUGCUUAAUCAGUGGGCAGAUCACAGAGCUCCACUGUCUUCUAACGGGAUGGCCAUAUGUGGACAGGAAAACUGAAGUCAUGGUGCAGGGGCCUUCUGUGGUCUCUCUCCUUUGGAAGCCCUAUCAGUAGCUUCCAUAAGCACAGCUUCCAACACCUUGGGACGGUAAGUGGAGCUAGGGGAGCUUGAGCAACCUCCUUGUUUAGCUUGUUGUUAGUUAUUUGCUUUUUAUUGUGAGUUCUGAGGGCCGUGCCACUUGGCAGCAUGCUCCCAUUAGCUUUGCUAUCUGUAACACUUCUGAUGUGAGGUAACCAUGGUGACAGCUGUUAAGGAGCAUUUUAGGAGCUCUGAAACCGCUGCAGCCUAUCUCAAACUGGUCGAAACCACUGACCUUCCACUAAGACUUGCACAGUUGUCUGUCUUCAGUUCUACAUCCUGUCUCUGCACAUCACCGGGUUUUGAAGGUCAUCAGGAAGGCAGUCCCGCCUCUGGGCUCAUGCAGCACUUCAGUUUUGAAGAGACUCCAGCCAGCUGGAGCGCAGCAAACCUGGCUCUGGCAGGCCUUGCUUUUCUCCAGUUCCCGCUGCUUUGCUGAAAACCGUUAGAUUACAUCCUUAAAGCCAGUCACCAAGGUGGAUGAACCCAAGCUCGGAAUGCAGAGCUAAUUGUAAGGAUAAGAGUGGCACAUGAGCCGACCAACCAGGUCCUGGCUAAAAACUGCCUUCCACAAGACCUGAGCCAAGUUGGUCUUCUCACCUAAUAUGUGAACUAGCAAUUAUUAAAUAAAGAUUACUCUGAAACUCAGUGGGGUAAAACACUAAUCAUUAACGCUCAUACCUUACACAUGUGCAGAUUGGCUGUGGGUUGGGCAGCUUUAUUUCUCUCUGCAAAGACACUGUGUACUGUGUACCCUGGGGUGGCCCUGCUCCACAUGGAGU